rnacentral:rRNA from 1 species
UGACCAGACUCCUACGGGAGGCAGCAGUGGGGGAUAUUGCACAAUGGGGGAAACCCUGAUGCAGCGACGCCGCGUGGGUGAAGAAGCGCCUCGGCGCGUAAAGCCCUGUCAGCAGGGAAGAAAAUGACGGUACCUGAAGAAGAAGCCCCGGCUAACUACGUGCCAGCAGCCGCGGUAAUACGUAGGGGGCAAGCGUUAUCCGGAUUUACUGGGUGUAAAGGGAGCGUAGACGGCGAUGCAAGCCAGAUGUGAAAGUCCGGGGCUCAACCCCGGGACUGCAUUUGGAACUGUGUGGCUGGAGUGUCGGAGAGGCAGGCGGAAUUCCUAGUGUAGCGGUGAAAUGCGUAGAUAUUAGGAGGAACACCAGUGGCGAAGGCGGCCUGCUGGACGAUGACUGACGUUGAGGCUCGAAAGCGUGGGGAGCAAACAGGAUUAGAUACCCCAGUA